CAUUAAGUUUGAUCCAGCACGGCGGAGGAUCUCUCUCUCUCCCCUCUCCUCUCUCUCCCCUCUCUCUCUCUCACUCCCUCUCUCUUUUUUCCCCCUUUCCCUCGCUUAAAUCUCCUCGCGUCCAGCUAAGCAUGAACUCCAGAGACAGACCCCACCGGAGAGUACUGAGCCACCUCAAAAAUGGACAUCAGGCAGAUCAAACGACUCCUGAACUCUGGAGGGCAUUGAUGCUCUUCAGCUUUGAAACUGCCAUGGAAAAUGACCAGAAAUCUACAAUCUGAGAAAAUCCAUCCAUCAUCUUCAGGCAGUCUUCCAAUCUGUUAGCUUUAGCUGCUACUAAUAAGUGUCUCAGUCCAGGAAAAGCAAUUAUUACGAUGUUUCACAGAAUAGCUUCCAGAUAGCAUAUGAUGUAAACUGCUCUUGGGCAACAUUUCUUCUAAGGAAGCAGUCUUUUUUUCUUCAGUAAGCAACGUUACCAAUGCAAGUGCCAUAAAAACAGAGGUUGAGAAGCAGAGCUGUUGGAAAUGAGGAUUGACCAUAGCUACUGUGCCCAUGUACACCUUCCAAAGACUUGGAUCACUAUGCUUUGUAAAGCCCUUAUUAUGGAUUUUAUCGGUGUGUAGACUCUUUGAGUAAGGAUGUGAUCAAGAUGUAGUCACUACCAUGCUACAUCACAUAGGGCCACAUCGGGCAUCCUGUUUUGACUGAAGGUUCAUGUCCAGAAAGUGAUAUUUCAUCUACUGUCUAACGUACAUAAUCCACAAUACAAAACAAGCCCAAACUCAGUGCAUUAGCAUUUCUAUUUUAUUUCUUGCUAUUUUGAGGCCCUUAAUAAAAAUGCAGCAUUAUUGCAGCUGCUGGCUGCAUCAGUACCUCGAUCGGUACGCUUGCACGUGGCAGUCACUUGCAUUUUUUUUUUCCAGUGCUUUGUCUCUGCAGCAUGUGGACAUAAGGGAGCUGCCACCUGAGAGCAUCGCUGUGAAGGUGUUCACUGGCCUGGAGAGAUGGAGGCCUCCUCAAGGUAAUAAUGAUGCGUUGUUAGGUAAGUUAGGUGGAUAUCCUGCAGAUGUAGACAGGCCAGUGAAGGAACUCAACUGAGCUCCAAAUGCAGAGAGCUUCCUCUUAGAGAAGGGGAAACCAAACAAGGAGAGCAUCAAAGGAGCAGUGUGUGGUUUAUCUAGGAGUAGCCUUCACCUACAACUAUCUUCACUGUAACCUGAUUUCUAUAAUGAGGGAUCUCUGGCAAGAGAUCGAGGAGGAAAAAUUGACAACUCCUUUAUGACACCAAACAUACAUUGGCAAAGCUCUACUUUAGGCCUUUAGAGCCAAUACAUUUAGGGUCAGUCAGAUAAUCAUAUGGUGGCAUCUUACCAAGCCUCUCCGAUUAGUUUUUAUUCAAAGUUCCUUGCUACUAGUUCCUGGCUGUUCUUCACGUGUCUUUGUAAGCAGAUGUUAGCUCAUGAGUAACUUUGGAAUCAAUUCAGUCUGCCUCUGCUAGACUCCUUGAUCUUGAUGGCUGUUGUUAGCAGAUGACAUUCAGCAUGCUUCCAGACACCCAUCUACCUCAUCAGACUGAAUGACUAGUCUGUUCAAUUCCACUUUUGUAGCAUAUUAUAGAUCGUCUUGGUGUGUUUGGAUUUCUGAUUGCAGACUUGCUUUCUGAACCUUGAAGAAUUUGACACUAAGAGGAAAGCAUGGUCUGGAUUCCUUCUGAAAAUUUCAGAUGAAUGUGCUAGAUCUUUCUGCAUAAUAUGUAAUCCAAACCUAGAUACCUAUUUACUUUGCAAGCAAAAUUUUGGUCUUGAAUACCAUUGCCGAGUUGUUUUCUAGGAGAAAUGAGAUCAAUGGGACCAUGGUAUGCUUAUAAUCUUGGUUUGGCAAUUGGUUCUUAAUUAAGGAGAUACAUAUACUGGAGAGUUAGAAACCAUAAUUUACCUGGCUUAAAAGAUGAUGUUUGGUAUAUCAAGAUAUUUGUUUUAAAUCAUCAAAGCUAUUUUGGCCAGCAGAUGUGCAUACACAUACCUGUUCUUAAAAUAUGUGUAAGCGUUCAUCCUAAUAUACGUGCAUUCCUUAUAUAUAUUAUUUGGAUAUAAUUUGUACAUCAUUGUUCCUUAUAAAUAUGUAAAAUUCCUUCUUACAUAUACAUAAACAUACAUAUACACAUGUUCCUCCUCAAUAUGUCCUCUUGCCUUUAAUUGUUGAAGACUGAUGGAUGCCAGCAAGCAAUCUAGUUUUGACAUCUAAUAAUAGGGUAAGAUACAUUGCUGAAAGGUCAGCAGUCGGUGUUUGGGAGUUCUUGGUCCCCUGGACACCCUGAAAAUAAGUGUGUGGAAAGGCUGAUCUUGCCAUAAGGCUUGUGAGCCGAUCAGAGUUUGACUAUAGGCAAGUCUACACUCUUUAUGCAAGGCAUAGGCAGUUUAAAAUAUUCAUCAACUUAGUUACGUGUCCUUUGUUCUCCUGGGCAGUAGUUCUACUGUAGUGAGAUGGAAGAUGUUAAAAUUAGUUAUUUUUCCCCAGAUGGGGGGAAUGAGAGCUUCUGCCUUACCAAAUUUUUUUUUUUUGCUUCAUGUGAACUAUUUUUGGGCAUUAGUGAUGAAAUAUAUUAAAAUGUGAUGAUGAAAUUGUGAGCAGGAAACAUUUAACGGUGCCUGCUUGAUUCCUGACAGCAUUAUGCUAUCUGUAAUGAUGAGAAAGGUAAAAAAAAAAGAAAAAAAAAGACAUUUCAUAUUUGGCAGAUGCUCUGUAGCACUAACAGAAAGAAGUCUAACAGUCAGACCGUUUCAAGGCUAGAAAUUAUUAUAGGCCUAGUGAACUGAAAAAGCACUACUUCUUGCUGUCUAUUAUAGUAGAACAUUCUUUUAAUUAAAUAUGUAAAUGAAGAUGUGUAUGAGCAAUAAAUAUCAAGUUUAAAGUCAUGCUUUGCCAUUAGUUUGAAACCAGAAAUCAUGACUGCUUUCCCAGAGACAUCCAUUUGCAGUGAGAGUGAUUCUGGUCUUUUUGGUAUUACUCUGUUAUUUUACAGCGAUGUGCUCAGCCUGUAAAGUACAUGCCAUUAACAAAUAGAUUUUUCUUUUUUUCAUCUAGAUAUUAAUUUUUUUCUAUAAGACAAUCUUGUUCCCUAAAUCUUUACAGACCUAUCACUCAGUCUUUGACAGUUCUUUAUCUCUUCCUAAAGCAAAAAGUCAGAGAGAAAAAAAGGAGCUCUUAUGCCUAAGAACUUGAAAAUUACUCUGGUCUAGAUGCCACUAAAGCACAAGUGUAACAGUACAUAUUUUCAACAAAUAAUGACUAGAUGUAGAAUACAACAUUCCAGACACACCAGAUUGUAUUCAAAUUCAUACGAGUGUUUUGUCUGAGUAGUAUACCCUCCUGAGAGGUGUGGGAAAAUGGGUGGCAUUUUUGCAGUUUUCUGCUUUGCAACUUAUCGAGGUCCCCAAAGUCAUGUUUCCCUACAUUGUUCCUUUGUACUUGCUGGGUUUGUCAGAAGAGAUGUGUGAAUGAAAACAGAUCUGAAUUCUGCACUGCUUUUGGGGCUUGGUUCAAAGAGGAUUGGCAGCCAUAGAAGGAUCUCAGCAAAGGCUUCCAUGACUCUAGUCAUGUCAUUAAUGAAGACCUUUUGAACAUUUUGGUCUUCAGCCUUCCAUAGGAAGAGGAAUAAUGAUCCUGCCUUUGAAAAGGGUUUUGAAAUUGCCAGAGAUGGAGAUAUUAAUCACUGUUAUACCUCCUUACAAGCAGUAAGAAAUGAAAUAGCGUUUAACGGAAAGACUGUGUUUUAUUAUAUUUACAACAAUAGAACUGGAAUAUAACCUUUUUAUUUAAAAAUCAAGCUGCAGAUUAGGUUUUGAUUGCAGUAUUUUGUACUGAAAAUAAGAAUAAUGGAAGCAAUUAAGUAUUCAUAGUCCUGCUCUCAAACAAACACCUUCCAUGGUGAGCCUGUUUAUGCAACUGAGUGUGCCAUACAAUUGUUUUUAUUACCUUCUUAUAAAACAGCCUGUAUAAACCACUUUUUUUUUAUUGUUUCUUUGUGUAUUGUUGAGCGUGUUUGCAUUCU